GACGAACGCUGGCGGCGUGCUUAACACAUGCAAGUCGAACGGAAAGGCCCUGCUUUUGUGGGGUGCUCGAGUGGCGAACGGGUGAGUAACACGUGAGUAACCUGCCCUUGACUUUGGGAUAACUUCAGGAAACUGGGGCUAAUACCGGAUAGGAGCUCCUGCUGCAUGGUGGGGGUUGGAAAGUUUCGGCGGUUGGGGAUGGACUCGCGGCUUAUCAGCUUGUUGGUGGGGUAGUGGCUUACCAAGGCUUUGACGGGUAGCCGGCCUGAGAGGGUGACCGGCCACAUUGGGACUGAGAUACGGCCCAGACUCCUACGGGAGGCAGCAGUGGGGAAUAUUGCACAAUGGGCGGAAGCCUGAUGCAGCAACGCCGCGUGCGGGAUGACGGCCUUCGGGUUGUAAACCGCUUUCGCCUGUGACGAAGCGUGAGUGACGGUAAUGGGUAAAGAAGCACCGGCUAACUACGUGCCAGCAGCCGCGGUGAUACGUAGGGUGCGAGCGUUGUCCGGAUUUAUUGGGCGUAAAGGGCUCGUAGGUGGUUGAUCGCGUCGGAAGUGUAAUCUUGGGGCUUAACCCUGAGCGUGCUUUCGAUACGGGUUGACUUGAGGAAGGUAGGGGAGAAUGGAAUUCCUGGUGGAGCGGUGGAAUGCGCAGAUAUCAGGAGGAACACCAGUGGCGAAGGCGGUUCUCUGGGCCUUUCCUGACGCUGAGGAGCGAAAGCGUGGGGAGCGAACAGGCUUAGAUACCCUGGUAGUCCACGCUGUAAACGGUGGGUACUAGGUGUGGGGUCCAUUCCACGGGUUCCGUGCCGUAGCUAACGCUUUAAGUACCCCGCCUGGGGAGUACGGCCGCAAGGCUAAAACUCAAAGGAAUUGACGGGGCCCCGCACAAGCGGCGGAGCAUGCGGAUUAAUUCGAUGCAACGCGUAGAACCUUACCUGGGUUUGACAUGGAUCGGGAGCGCUCAGAGAUGGGUGUGCCUCUUUUGGGGUCGGUUCACAGGUGGUGCAUGGCUGUCGUCAGCUCGUGUCGUGAGAUGUUGGGUUAAGUCCCGCAACGAGCGCAACCCUUGUUCACUGUUGCCAGCACGUUAUGGUGGGGACUCAGUGGAGACCGCCGGGGUCAACUCGGAGGAAGGUGGGGAUGACGUCAAGUCAUCAUGCCCCUUAUGUCCAGGGCUUCACGCAUGCUACAAUGGCUGGUACAGAGAGUGGCGAGCCUGUGAGGGUGAGCGAAUCUCGGAAAGCCGGUCUCAGUUCGGAUUGGGGUCUGCAACUCGACCUCAUGAAGUCGGAGUCGCUAGUAAUCGCAGAUCAGCAACACUGCGGUGAAUACGUUCCCGGG
rnacentral:rRNA from 1 species